rnacentral:rRNA from 1 species
UUCCGGUUGAUCCUGCCGGACCCCACUGCUAUCGAGAUGGGACUAAAGUAUGCUAGUCGAACGACCAGAACUAUGUCUGGAAGUGGCACACUGCUCAGUAACACGUAGCUAACCUACCCUUAGGACGUGGAUACCCCCGAGAAAUUGGGGUUAAUCCGCGAUAGAUGUAAUGUCCUGGAAUGGUAUUACGUCUAAAGGUAUUUCAUACAUGUUUGAAAUAUGCCUAAGGAUGGGGCUGCGGCCGAUCAGGCUGUUGGUGAGGUAAUGGCUCACCAAACCUUUGACCGGUACGGGCCAUGAGAGUGGUAGCCCGGAGAUGGACACUGAGACAAGGGUCCAGGCCCUAAGGGGCGCAGCAACCGCGAAACCUCCACAAUGCACUAACGUGCGAUGGGGCUAUCUCGAGUGCCACCUGAUGAAGGUGGCUUUUCCUUGGUCUUCAAAGCCUUGGGAAUAAGAGGGGGGCAAGACUGGUGUCAGCCGCCGCGGUAACACCAGCCCCUCGAGUGGUGGGGAUGAUUAUUUGGCCUAAAGCGUCCGUAGCCGGCCGUGAAAGUCUUCCGUUAAAUCCAGCGUCUCAAGCGUUGGACCGCGGGAGAUACUACACGGCUAGAGAGUGGGAGAGGUCAGCGGUAUUCUGGGGGUAGGGGCGAAAUCCUUUGAUCCCCGGAGGACCACCAGUGGCGAAGGCUGCUGACUAGAACACGUCUGACGGUCAGGGACGAAAGCUGGGGUAGCGAACCGGAUUAGAUACCCGGGUAGUCCCAGCCGUAAACGAUGCAUGCUAGGUGUUGGGUUGGCCACGAG